AAUCAAACAGCAAAGGAGGGUGUAUUUAACCCGGUCUCUGGUGCUGCUCAGCAGAAACAAGCAGCAAAGCAACUCUGCUAACCCUCAUUCCUCUGAGGAGUCACAACUAAAGGGACAAACCAUCUUCAGUUUGGAUCCGGGUCACAAUUUAAACCCACUUUAGAGGCUGGAGGUGGACCAUCUGCAAACACAAUGUCUUAUGACCGGAUUCUGUCAAUCGAAAAUCUGAGUGAUGUUCCAAAUCCAUGGAAGGGAUUUACGAUGAACCGCUGCAUAGUUCUGACUUUGGUUGUUCUGCUGGUGAGCUCCGGAGUUAAUGAAGUACAUGAAGCUCUGGAUUCUUUCGUAGAGGAGACAGGUAUCAGAUCCUUCAUCGGAAACCUGCAGAAUGGUUCAUUACCUCAGAUUUCCUUAUGGGACACUUUCAUGUGGUGGUGGGGAUCUGAAGAACUUGGAGCCAUAAGAAGAAGAAAAAAGCCAAUGGGCACCAAAGUCAUCCUGAAACCCAAAGCUAGAGAAUAAAACAUAGAAAGCUGCCGGAAAAAAAAAAACCUGGAGAGUCAACAAAGAGAUGUAGAUAAAGAACACAAAAGGUCUUAAGUUUACUUCAGAAUCUUACAUUUCAUCCAUUAUUUGUAUUGUUUAGAACAGUGUUUGUCUGGAUGUGCCUCGUUCACAAGCAUUUAUCACAUUUAAUAAAUAUUUUAAAAUAACUCAAA